GGCUCCGUGGCUUAAUGGUUACAGCCUCUGUCUCCCAAGCAGAAGGUUCAGGGAUCAAAUCCCGGUCGGUACCU
rnacentral:tRNA from 1 species